ACCACGGUGGUGUAGUGGUAGCACGCGCCCCCGGUAUGAGUGAAACACGGGUUGAACUCCUGUCUGUGGUA